GUUUCAGAGGCGUCGCGCGUAGAAAAUAGAACCGGCGCGUAAAGGCCGCGACAUGCUGCUUCUGAGACGCGGCCGACUCGCGCUGCUGACGGCUCCAGUGGAAAAGGUUCUGUUGACCACAGCGGUUCCUAUCAGCAGCUAUGACGUGCUGCUGCAGUAACGUGCCGCUGACGACUCCUGUGGAAAGCCGGGGUUAGAGACGGCUUCAUCCUGUAAACAAACAAAUGAGUGGUAACAAAAACACCACGUCUGGUUCUGGUGGAGGCGGAGGACAACACGCACCUUUCCAGGAGCAGAACCCAGAUGUUCUUGUUGCUACAAACAGAGACGAGCAGAGUUAACAAACCAGGAAGUGAGAGGGACCAGCUGCUGCAGACAGGUGACGCUCACCUGAGCCUGAACCAUAGGAGCCUCCUCAGCCAUCAGACCUUCUGACUCCAGUUCAGAUGCCACCUUGUUGAUGUCCAUCAGGCGGGACUCGUUGGCCUUCAGGUCCUGCAGGACAAAAGCACCUGCUGAUUAUCACCUGAGCUGAUCUGACAGCUGCUGCUGGAAGACGGAGAGGAGGAAAAGUCCGACCUUCUGGAAGUCGUCAAACUUCUUCUGCAAGACCUCGACCUGCUCCAGGUCCGACCCGCCUCUCCAUCCUCAUUCAGCUAAAGACGCGAGUUCAAGUAAAACAAUCUAAAGUCACACAAACACAAAGCAGGUGUGGAGAUGGUCGCUCUGAGCUGGAGGUCGUUCCUCAGCUGUGAAGGGCACACGAACCUUGUUGGUGCUGUUGAGCAGCGUGAGGAUGUCGCCCUUCUUCAUGGUGACCUCUCGAGGACUCUUCUCCUUGUAGUCGUACAGAGCCAGAACCAGCUCCUUCCCGGUCUCAUCGUCAGUUGGAGCCACUUGUUGCUGUCGGGUUAACAGGUCUGGUGUUAGAACGUGGUGGAUAAGAAUGUUCUGACGGGCCGAGGGUUCUGAACUCACCCUGCAGGACUGGGUCUGCUCCUUCAGGGCCUGGAUGCUGCUGCCGUAAGCCGACAGGUCCGACAUCAGGGCCUCGUGCUUCUUCAGGAGAGCCUGUGGAGCAGAACAUCAGAACCUUCAGCUCGUCUGACACAAGUGGAGCUUUCUCGCAGCGAUGGUCCAAUCGGAUCCGCCACCGUAAAACAAACCCUGCUCAGUUCACCGCAGACGCAGCUCUGCGGGUGUUUAGUGGAAAAGCGUGAGCCUUCUGCCGGCUGCCACGUGUCAUGGCUGCUCUGCAGCGAGAACACACAUCACAGCUUGUAAACCGUUUGAAAUAAGAGCGACGGGAACACGUUUGUCAUCACUUCCUGUGCGAGGCCAGCACUUCUACCCCUAACCCAUGAGACGCUCAAACGAGCAACGAUGUCUGGUAGACAACCGAAGGAAAUGACAAAUACAGAAACACUAAUUAUGAAGGACUGGAAAGAGAGCAAAGAAAAGCGAUUGGAGUUUCUCAGGAAGGGACUUCCAUACCUCGGCCAAGUCCUCGUCUUUCCCGUAGUCUGGACUUCCAACGAUGGGCUCCUUCUCCCUCAUCCAGGACUCGGCCUCAUUAGCAUCCACAAAGUACUGCUGGGCCUGCAGAGAGUCCUCCAGGUCCUGCCUCCUCUGGGACGCCUUGGCCUUCAGCGUGUCCCAACGUCCAUGAAGCUCCCACAGUUUAGUCUUCACUUCCUCACCAGCGAAGUGACCUGGACCCAAAAAAAGUGAGCCAGAACCUGCAGACACCUCAGAAACAUGUCAGGACCAGACCUGCUCUACCUUCCUCCAUUAUGGUCUCUCCUUUCUGGGUGACAGCCUUGAUGCGAGGUUCAUGACCUGUGAUCUCAGCCUGCAGGGCCUGGUGCUUCUUCAGCAGGUUCUGGACACCAAUCAGGUCCUUCCC